GCUGCACGCACAGUAGGUGGCGGUAAUGCACACACAAGGUUGCUUGCCAACCGCCAUAAAAAUCAAAAGAAGAAGAAGAAGAAGGAGAAGAAGAAGAAGAAGACUGCACGCAUGCACAAUUGAAGCUGCUCCGUGAGACAAAGAAGGACGAAGGCUAACUACUUCCAGAAUCCCGAUUUUAAAGCAAUUUGGUGCGCCAUCCAUUCAUCACAAGUUGGCUGUUAUAAAGUUUCCAAACUGACCAAAGACCAACGAAUGACUUCUGAAGAAGGGUGGAUUUAUUUGUAGUUUAGUUAAACAAUAAUUUGCCCCGUCAGUGAUAUGGUUUGAAUGCUGCCUGAACGUUCCGAAUUUGGCAGACAUGGUGAGGACAAUGCUGAGGAAAAUUGCCACAAACAAAGUCCUGGAGCAGCUUGGCCUCCGUGGAAAGUCAGGAAAAGUGGCGUUUGAGGACUUGCCCCUUUACAGAAUAAUAAAUAAGGCAUGCAGGGGUGUUUACAAGCAGAUGACCACAGCUGAAGUGGAUUGUGAGCUUGGAGAGGUCCUGAAACUGGCCACUUUUCGAAAGGGAGGUUCAAAAUUUGAGGAGAAGAGGAGGAAUUAAGAGGGAGGACAAAAAAGGAAAAAGAAACAAGCAAAAGAACAGAGUGAGAUGAGAGGAUUUGGGUUUCCCUGCUUGGGCUGCUGCCCCCGCGACCCGACCUCGGAUAAGCGGAAGAAGAUGGAUGGAUGGAUGGAUGGAUUUACUUCCAGGAAGAGAACCAAGAAGGGGCAGGAUACACUGACGCGCACGACCAAGACCACUGCAUUCCAUUCCAUUUGUAUUAUAGUUAUCACUAAUAAAGAAUUAUUUCUGUUGAAAUCACUAUCACUAAUAAAGAAUUAAUUCUG